GAGAUUGAGAGUUUGAUCCUGGCUCAGGACGAACGCUGGCGGCGUGCCUAACACAUGCGAGUCGAGCGGGCCGUAAAGUGGAAUUGACCUUCGGGUCAAGGAAGCUAGACGGCUAGCGGCGGACGGGUGAGUAACGCGUGGGCAACCUGGCUUGUCGACUGGGAUAACACCGGGAAACCGGUGCUAAUACCGGAUAAAACAUUAAAGGGACAUCCCUUAAAUGUCAAAGCGAACGAGUGCGGCAAGAUGGACCCGCGUCCCAUUAGCUAGUUGGUAGGGUAAUGGCCUACCAAGGCGACGAUGGGUAGCCGGCCUGAGAGGGCAACCGGCCACACUGGGACUGAGACACGGCCCAGACUCCUACGGGAGGCAGCAGUGGGGAAUAUUGCGCAAUGGGGGAAACCCUGACGCAGCAACGCCGCGUGAGCGAAGAAGGCCUUCGGGUCGUAAAGCUCUGUCAACGGGGAAGAAGACUCUCCAAUAGGAGAGAUGACGGUACCCGAGGAGGAAGCCCCGGCUAACUACGUGCCAGCAGCCGCGGUAAUACGUAGGGGGCAAGCGUUGUCCGGAAUUACUGGGCGUAAAGGGCGUGUAGGUGGUCAUUUAAGUCAGUGGUGAAAAGUGAGGGCUUAACCCUAACCUUGCCAUUGAAACUGGAAGACUUGAGGGCAGGAGAGGUAAGUGGAAUUCCUAGUGUAGCGGUGAAAUGCGUAGAUAUUAGGAAGAACACCAGUGGCGAAGGCGACUUACUGGACUGACCCUGACACUGAGGCGCGAAAGCGUGGGGAGCAAACAGGAUUAGAUACCCUGGUAGUCCACGCCGUAAACGAUGGAUACUAGGUGUUGGGGGAUCGACCCCCCCCAGUGCCGCAGCUAACGCAUUAAGUAUCCCGCCUGGGGAGUACGGCCGCAAGGCUGAAACUCAAAGGAAUUGACGGGGGCCCGCACAAGCGGUGGAGCAUGUGGUUUAAUUCGACGCAACGCGAAGAACCUUACCAGGGCUUGACAUCCCUCUGACCGGUAUAGAGAUAUACCUUUUCUUUGAACAGAGGAGACAGGUGGUGCAUGGUUGUCGUCAGCUCGUGUCGUGAGAUGUUGGGUUAAGUCCCGCAACGGGCGCAACCCCUAUUGUUAGUUGCCAGCAUUAAGUUGGGCACUCUAACAAGACUGCCGGUGACAAACCGGAGGAAGGUGGGGAUGACGUCAAAUCAUCAUGCCCCUUAUGUCCUGGGCUACACACGUGCUACAAUGGCCUGUACAGAGGGCAGCAAAGCCGCGAGGCGGAGCAAAUCCCAAAAAGCAGGUCUAAGUUCGGAUUGCAGGCUGCAACUCGCCUGCAUGAAGUCGGAAUCGCUAGUAAUCGCAGGUCAGCAUACUGCGGUGAAUACGUUCCCGGGCCUUGUACACACCGCCCGUCACACCACGAAGGCCGGCAACACCCGAAGCCGGGAAGCUAACUCGAAAGAGAGGCUACCGUCGAAGGUGGGGUUAGUGAUUGGGGUGAAGUCGUAACAAGGUAGCCGUAAAUGAGAGUUUGAUCCUGGCUCAGGAAGUAAAAGUCGUAACAAGGUAGCCGUAGAUGAGAGUUUGAUCCUGGCUCAGAAGUCGUAACAAGGUAGCCGUA
rnacentral:rRNA from 1 species